rnacentral:rRNA from 1 species
UAGGGAAUCUUCCACAAUGGACGCAAGUCUGAUGGAGCAACGCCGCGUGAGUGAAGAAGGCUUUCGGGUCGUAAAACUCUGUUGUUGGAGAAGAAUGGUCGGCAGAGUAACUGUUGUCGGCGUGACGGUAUCCAACCAGAAAGCCACGGCUAACUACGUGCCAGCAGCCGCGGUAAUACGUAGGUGGCAAGCGUUAUCCGGAUUUAUUGGGCGUAAAGCGAGCGCAGGCGGUUUUUUAAGUCUGAUGUGAAAGCCCUCGGCUUAACCGAGGAAGCGCAUCGGAAACUGGGAAACUUGAGUGCAGAAGAGGACAGUGGAACUCCAUGUGUAGCGGUGAAAUGCGUAGAUGUAUGGAAGAACACCAGUGGCGAAGGCGGCUGUCUGGUCUGUAACUGACGCUGAGGCUCGAAAGCAUGGGUAGCGAACAGGAUUAGAUACCCUGGUAGUCCAUGCCGUAAACGAUGAAUGCUAGGUGUUGGAGGGUUUCCGCCCUUCAGUGCCGGCAGCUAACGCAUUAAGCAUUCCGCCUGGGGAGUACGACCGC